UACAGAGGUGGCAAGCGUUGUUCGGAAUUACUGGGCGUAAAGGGCGCGCAGGCGGUCGUGCAAGUCGCGUGUGAAAGCCCCCGGCUCAACUGGGGAGGGUCACGCGAUACUGCUCGACUUGAAGGCAGGAGAGGGAAGUGGAAUUCCCGGUGUAGUGGUGAAAUGCGUAGAUAUCGGGAGGAACACCAGUGGCGAAGGCGACUUCCUGGCCUGUUCUUGACGCUGAGGCGCGAAAGCUAGGGUAGCAAACGGG
rnacentral:rRNA from 1 species